rnacentral:rRNA from 1 species
UGCCAGCCGCCGCGGUAAUACGGAGGGUGCAAGCGUUAAUCGGAAUUACUGGGCGUAAAGAGUACGUAGGCGGCUUUACAAGUCGGGUGUGAAAGCCCUGAGCUUAACUCAGGAACUGCAUUCGAUACUGUAUCGCUAGAGUUUAUUAGAGGAUAGCGGAAUUCCAGGUGUAGCGGUGAAAUGCGUAGAUAUUUGGAGGAACACCAGUGGCGAAGGCGGCUCACUGGCUCGAUACUGACGCUGAGGUACGAAAGUGUGGGGAGCAAACAGGAUUAGAUA